rnacentral:rRNA from 1 species
UACGGGGGGGGCAAGCGUUGUUCGGAAUUACUGGGCGUAAAGGGCUCGUAGGCGGCCAACUAAGUCAGACGUGAAAUCCCCAGGCUCAACCUGGGAACUGCGUCUGAUACUGGAUGGCUUGAAUCCGGGAGAGGGAUGCAGAAUUCCAGGUGUAGCGGUGAAAUGCGUAGAUAUCUGGAGGAAUACCGGUGGCGAAGGCAGCUCGCUGGAACGGUACUGACGCUGAGGCGCGAAAGCGUGGGGAGCGAACAGG